rnacentral:lncRNA from 1 species
CUGUGUGUCUGCCUGUCUGCCUGUCUGUCUGGCUGGCUGAUCGGCUUGGAAUGUGUCACUUCCACUUCCUGAGGCCGUGGAACUUGCGGACUUGCCUUGCCCUCUGUCUCUGUGUUGUGGCAACGGAUGUUAAGACUUGCGGAAGUUUUCGCAUGCACUCUGCACAGACCUCCCUCCAGCCCUCCAUCUCUUAGCAAGACUUCUUGCAGCUGCUUAGCUGAGUGGAUUCGGUUGGAGUGGAGAUGGCGAUAGUCGCCCCUCUGGGCCGCUUUAAUGCCGAUCAUUAGCGUUGCU